AAUUGCAAUUGAUAACAAUGAAGUUACGACAAUAAUUGGUCUAAGUACUUAUCCAUUUAGCAGUUCUGAAAGUUGCAAAAUGAUCGAAGAUAGGAACUAACAAAUUACACGGCACUUCUUAGAUCUUGCAAUUCAGAUCACAGAAUGCAUUAGCCUAUCCGUAUUUCGCUACGGAACACACGCAUGCUGCAUUCGAAGCUGUACUUUACCAUCAGAACGAAAAUGCAAUAUUCGGCGUAAUGCGAUAUUUAUCGACAACAUCGGGCGCGGGAUAACCCAUUAACAUUCCGUAUGAAAUCCAUAGACAGAUAAGUGGAAUGCCCUGUACAGAGACGCGUUUGCAUACACGCUUUGAUAUAUCUAGAUGCUACAUGCAUCUGCGCCAGUGGAACGUGCAUGCACGCGAGUUCAACGAGCGUAGCAGAGACUGGCGCCAAACGGCGAUCCUAACAUCGGCCAACCGAUCCGCGAUCGCCUCCUACGAUGAUCUUCUACGAUGACACACCCCCAUGGAAACGAUCGAACAUAAUCGGGCCUCGUGUUUACAGGCUAUUGCUGACAGAUAUCAUCAGAUAGAUAUCAAUAAACGUACAAGUCGUGCAAAUGACGAUCUCGAGCGUGGUAUUACAUAGGACGUUCGUUGAUAAAUGACGAGUAUCGAUCGCUGAAGGUUGCCUAGAGAGUGGAAGUUGAGAUUUACGUAAGAUUAUUUGUGCUUAUUGUUAGUAGUACAAUAUCAUAUACAUACAACAUAAUAUAUACUCAACAUUAUGUCUAAUAAUAUAUUAAUACAGAAUUAUAUGUUUUUUACAGAGGGUAGUAAGGAGUUCUUUCAAUGAUUUGCAUGGAUUAAUUAUCAAUAUGAAAAGUCAAUAAUAAAUUUAAGAAAUUGAACUCAAGGAACUUCUUAUUGUUGAACCGAAAAUAUUUUAUAUGGUUGGAGAGAUUUUGGGAGGAAUUAAUAAUCAAAUACACAAAUGAUAUUAGAGAGGAGCGAACUGUACGUGCAGGGGAUCAUGAGACUAUUCUUCAUUCAUAAAUGAAGUGAGACGAAACGUGAAAGUACUUUAUUCAUCGUACCGUAGAUACGGCAAUGCAUAGAAUAUUCUAGCUAAAGAAUUCCCAGCACUGAAAGUAUCCUGCAACUGCACUGAAAAUUCAUUUUAAUUCCCCGAGAAACUGAAUUUUAUCAAACUCCGCACGAUCUAAAAUUCUUCUGAAAUUCAAUUAAAAGUGUUUCAGAGCACUUCAUUGGUGAACCUAUUCAGAGCUUGUAAUUUGACACGGAACAAACUGUAAUCUCCUUAGUAACAUUCGCCGAAUGAUUUUGAUAAGCUUAAUAAAUUGGGCAAACACAACGCUUUGUGAGAAUGACUUCUAAUCGUACAUGCAAUACGUUCAACAGUCGCAAUCAGUGACCCAGAAUGUUAAUACUUUCUCCUUCUUCAAGUAUUCUUUUGUUCUCCGUUCGAAUGCACCUGUAUUGUACCCGUGACGCACAGCUGUUCCGUGACAAUGCAAUAACGGGUCACGGCGGUUCCAAUACUACAUUUGGAGAAGAAUAUAUGUGUAGAUAAACACGCUGUCUGGACGAUCACUAUUAGGUCAUCGAGAUCGAAUUUCGGAAAUAAAACGAUACGUGGUUAAAUAGACUGGAAGAGAAAAUUCUCUCUCUCUCUCUCUCUCUCUCUCU